CCUACGGGAGGCAGCAGUGAAGAAUAUUGGUCAAUGGGCGCGAGCCUGAACCAGCCAAGUAGCGUGAAGGAUGACUGCCCUACGGGUUGUAAACUUCUUUUAUAAAGGAAUAAAGUGAGGCACGUGUGCCUUUUUGUAUGUACUUUAUGAAUAAGGAUCGGCUAACUCCGUGCCAGCAGCCGCGGUAAUACGGAGGAUCCGAGCGUUAUCCGGAUUUAUUGGGUUUAAAGGGAGCGGAGAUGGGUUGUUAAGUCAGUUGUGAAAGUUUGCGGCUCAACCGUAAAAUUGCAAUUGAUACUGGCAGCCUUGAGUACAGUUGAGGUAGGCGGAAUUCGUGGUGUAGCGGUGAAAUGCUUAGAUAUCACGAAGAACGCCGAUUGCGAAGGCAGCCUACUAGACUGCCACUGACAUUGAUGCGCGAAAGUGUGGGUAGCAAACAGGAUUAGAUACCCUAGUAGUC
rnacentral:rRNA from 1 species